rnacentral:rRNA from 1 species
UACGUAGGGUGCUAGCGUUGUUCGGAAUCAUUGGGCGUAAAGCGCGUGUAGGCGGUUAGUUAAGUCGGGUGUGAAAUCCCUGGGCUCAACCGAGGAAGUGCAUCCGAAACUAACUAGCUAGAGAAUGGUAGAGGAAGGUGGAAUUCCGUGUGUAGAGGUGAAAUUCGUAGAUAUACGGAGGAAUACCGGUGGCGAAGGCGGCCUUCUGGACCAUUUCUGACGCUGAGACGCGGAAGCGUGGGGAGCAAACAGG